UUGGGUAUACCCAAUAAGAAGUGUCGCUGAAUAUGCUUAAAACACCCUAAUUGGGUAUUUGCAGGUUAGUACCCAACAAAACUUGGACACGACGAUUUGUCCAAAAAAGUGUCCAAAAAAGUUGCUUUCACGGACGCACCGUGUUUUGUGUUUCAGUUUUACAUUCGGAACUCUAAAUUCUCGAGAGUUCCGAAAAUCAACUUCCGUUGAUCCUGAUCAUAACAACGUUUGUUUUCAUGGAAAAAAAAUAUGGCGACUAAGAAACACUUAAUGUCAACAAGAUUGUCUGAUUGACAAGAGAAAAGGUCAAACAGGAACUUCAAUUGUGAACAUUGCAGAGAACACACUCAUCAGAAGAUGACCCUCAGAAAUAGGACAAUUAAUGAAUAAAAAGGACAGAGGCAGAUUUGAAGGAGAUGCAUGAAAUGAGGAAUAUUUCAAAGAUUGCCUGAGCAUAACCACUGCUACUGGAUAAACAUAUGGCAAUAUAAAAGAGCAGGGUCAAUGGAGGUAUCAUACAGUAUAGGCCAUGAGAGACCCUGAAGAAGAAAGAAUGGAAGAGAAACAAAAAUAAAACCAUUUUGACAUUUAUUGAAAUAUAGGAUCAAAGCCUUACAUGUAAAAUUUGGGCAUGUAAUGACUUUUCUCUUGCUCUAAGACUUAUAACAGUGAUGAUUUGAUUUAACAUCUUUAUCCCGAUUUGUCGAAAAGAUUUGGACAUAGUGCAUCAAUUAUUUUAAAGUUUUGAUACAACAAAUUCAUUCAUUGUACUUGUAACUGAGUUUUCGGGUGCGACACUGUUUAUUCGGCUUCAAAACUAAAUUUGUGA